rnacentral:Y_RNA from 1 species
GGCUGAUCUGAAAGUAGUGAGUUACCUCACUUGAUUGUUCACAGUCAGUUACAGAUUGAACUCCUUGUUCUAUUACUUUCCCCCCUUCUCACUACUGCACUUGACUAGUCUUUU